GCCUACGGGGGGCAGCAGUGAGGAAUAUUGGUCAAUGGGAGAGAUUCUGAACCAGCCAAGCCGCGUGAGGGAAGACGGCCCUAUGGGUUGUAAACCUCUUUUGUCGGAGAACAAAACCCGGGACGUGUCCCGGACUGCGUGUAUCCGAAGAAAAAGCAUCGGCUAACUCCGUGCCAGCAGCCGCGGUAAUACGUAGGGGGCAAGCGUUAUCCGGAUUUACUGGGUGUAAAGGGAGCGUAGACGGCGAUGCAAGUCUGAAGUGAAAGCCCGGGGCUCAACCCCGGGACUGCUUUGGAAACUGUAUG
rnacentral:rRNA from 1 species